UGAAUACGAGACGCUAAGGCGUCGAAGUAGUGUAUGUCAUACUUCCAAGAAAAGCUUGCACUGUCAUAGAUAAAAAACGCCUGUACCAUAACCGACACAGGUGGGUAGGUAGAGUAUACUAAGGGGCGCGAGAUAACUCUCUCUAAGGAACUCGGCAAAAUAACUCCGUAACUUCGGGAGAAGGAGUGCCUUAUUCGUAAGGUUGCAAUAACAAGAUCCAAGCAACUGUUUAUCAAAAACACAGGUCUCCGCUAAGUCGUAAGACGAUGUAUGGGGGCUGACGCCUGCCCAGUGCCAGAAGGUUAAAGAAGUUGGUUAGCAAUUGCGAAGCUGAUAACUGAAGCCCUGGUGAACGGCGGCCGUAACUAUAACGGUCCUAAGGUAGCGAAAUUCCUUGUCGGGUAAGUUCCGACCCGCACGAAAGGCGUAAUGAUUUGGAUACUGUCUCGGAGAGGGGCUCGGUGAAAUAGACUUGUCUGUGAAGAUGCGGACUACCUGCACCAGGACAGGAAGACCCUAUGAAGCUUUACUGUAACUUGAAAUUGAAAUUGGACUUUAUUCGCGCAGUAUAGGUGGGAGGCGUUGAUUAUAAUCUUGUGGGAUUAUUGGAGCCAUCAGUGAGAUACCACUCUUGUAAUGUUAGAUUUCUAACUUUGAAUCAUUAUCUGGUCAAAGAACAGUUUCAGGCGGGCAGUUUGACUGGGGCGGUCGCCUCCUAAACGGUAACGGAGGCGUACAAAGGUUUCCUCUGAACGGUUAGAAAUCGUAUCUAGAGUGUAAAGGCAUAAGGAAGCUUGACUGUGAGACCUACAAGUCGAGCAGGGACGAAAGUCGGUCUUAGUGAUCUGACGGUACUGAGUGGAAAGGCCGUCACUCAACGGAUAAAAGUUACUCUAGGAUAACAGGCUGAUCUCCCCCAAGAGUUCACAUCGACGGGGAGGUUUGGCUCCUCGAUGUCGGCUCAUCGCAUCCUGGGGCGGUAGUACGUCCCAAGGGUUGGGCUGUUCGCCCAUGAAAGCGGUACGCGAGCUGGGUUCAGAACGUCGUGAGACAGUUCGGUCCAUAUCCGGUGUAGGCGUUAGAAUAUUGAGAGGAGCCUUCUUUAGUACGAGAGGACCGAGAAGGACAUACCUCUGGUGUACCAGUUAUCGUGCCAACGGUAAACGCUGGGUAGCUAUGUAUGGAGUGGAUAACCGCUGAAAGCAUCUAAGUGGGAAGCCCACCUCAAGAUAAGUAUUCUCAU
rnacentral:rRNA from 1 species